rnacentral:lncRNA from 1 species
ACAAGCUCUCAUCCGAGAGUAAAGAGAAAAAGAAAAGGGUGGGUGAGAGAAAUCACAUCCGGGGAGGAUGGAUGAAAGUAAUCUCAUCCGGGAGAGGGUGGAAGAGAGCAAGAAAAGGAGAGAAAAAUAGAGAGAAAGAUAGUUCAAAUAAAUAUGUGUUUUAUUUGGGUUUCAUAACAUAGUUAUAUUGUGGUGAAAUAAUUUGGGUUUAUACUCAAAUUAAAAUUUCUUUGUAUUCUCCUAGUGAAUUUUUCGGAGAUGGAUGAUUUUUAUCUCUUAGUUUUGGAGAAUUUUUAACUUAAAAUCUUAGUGUCUUGUGCUUUGAUAUUUUAUCUCAUUAUUUCCUGUACUGAUU